ACUCCUACGGGAGGCAGCAGUGGGGAAUAUUGGACAAUGGGCGAAAGCCUGAUCCAGCCAUGCCGCAUGAGUGAAGAAGGCCUUUGGGUUGUAAAGCUCUUUUAGUGAGGAAGAUAAUGACGGUACUCACAGAAGAAGUCCUGGCUAACUCCGUGCCAGCAGCCGCGGUAAUACGGAGAGGGCUAGCGUUAUUCGGAAUUAUUGGGCGUAAAGGGCGCGUAGGCUGGUUAAUAAGUUAAAAGUGAAAUCCCGAGGCUUAACCUUGGAAUUGCUUUUAAAACUAUUAAUCUAGAGAUUGAAAGAGGAUAGAGGAAUUCCUGAUGUAGAGGUAAAAUUCGUAAAUAUUAGGAGGAACACCAGUGGCGAAGGCGUCUAUCUGGUUCAAAUCUGACGCUGAAGCGCGAAGGCGUGGGGAGCAAACAGGAUUAGAAACCCUAGUAGUCC
rnacentral:rRNA from 1 species